rnacentral:lncRNA from 1 species
ACUUCACCCUACACUCUUGUUGGAUAUUCUCUAAAUCAGAUCAACAACGAUAGAAAUUUUGUCCAUCUUUCUCUUGUCAAUGGAUUUAAUUUAGGGAUGUAUAUAAUUCCAAUAUUAUCUGAAUCCGAUGAUUCAAGCCGAGAGAUCAGAUGCAGAGCUGAUAUCAAUACCAAUUGUCCAGACACCUUAAAGGUACCUGGUGGUUGUAAAGACCCUUGUGCAGCUUAUGAUGACUGUAGUGGACCUACUCCCGAAACAAACUUUUUCAAGCAAAGUUGCCCUGAUGCGUAUAGUUACCCUUCAGAACAAGAUCAUGCUAUAAAUUUUAGUUAUCCCAGAGCUACCAACUAUAGGAUUGUAUUUUGCCCAGGAGAGGCUAUUUUGAGACGCAAUGAUAAUCCCCCCUCCCCCCCCAAAGAGCGCAUCUAUUCCCCCCCUUCCCCCAACCUCCACCCCAGCCCCCACCCCUAAAGCACAUCUAGCAUAAUCUUCUUUGUAGCAAGAAUGUAGGAUCACUAUAAUUUCCUUUAUACAUAGUGUUUGCCACUAUGAACUCAACCUUUAUUUUCCUAUUUGCAAGGAUACCAUGUACACAUAUUCUAUUGCAAAAAAUAUUACUAUUACUAUUCUUUUGAUUAGGUACUUGAAAGUUGGAUUUUAUGGACAAAUCAAUUUUUUAGUGAGGUUGCCUUUAUGCAACUUAUUUGUGUGUUGUCUGCUAGAGUCCCUCAAGAAGUAUGCAACUAAUACAUCAAUGAAUCCAUCAAUCAUCAUAGAACCUACAUGACUGACUAGAACAAUUGAUAUACCUUAGUUUUGUUCUUUGGGAUAUUUAUUUGUUUAUUGUGUGUCUACGGGCAAUGUGAACGUGGCUACAAGACGCUGCAUGACUUCCUGUUAACAGGGGCCUCAAGAGGAACAAAAGCACUAGGAGAAUUCGAACUGGGAAAGAAUUAAGUGAAGGGAAAAUACUAAAAUAUCUAUGUACUUUUGCAUUUUUAAUGGGGUUUAAUGAUGCAUUCUUAAACUGUGGGAAAAACACAAAGCGACUUAUAUACUUCGAUCUGUUUUCAAAAGAAAUUCUCGUCAAAAGAGUUGCACUGUAGCAUCUUCAAACUCCUGUUAAUAGUAGGUGUUGGUCCGAAUCUCAGACUACACGAGAUGGAUAUCCCACUGAUGAUCCUAAGGCUGAGCUCUUCCCUGUUUCAUGUAUACAAACGAAACAAGACCGAAGGAGCGUCUGAUGUGAGCACUCUGACGGUCAAGUCAGUAUGUGUGGGAGGAGAUAGAACUUGACAAAGUAUGGUUUUGAGUGAGAAUAGAGUACCUUAAACCUUGGGGCUUCCCCUUUUUAUAGUGUUUGAACUGACCUCUUAUCUAGGCCGUCCGUCUGUUUAGCAAGAUCCCACGAUAGGGAUGUUUGUACGUGGGUGGCUGUGAGCCUUGUUUCCGCUUGACCGCCUUUGACUAGUCAUGGAAUGCGAUACAACUGUACUCCUCGUGCGUCUCGCGUGCCGGCUACCCGACAAGUUGAAAGCUUAUCCAGUAGUCCGCAGGUGACUUAAUGCAAGAUAAGUUCGAGUUGUGUGGUGUUGCCACAUAUGCACACCGAAAUAUGCUCCCACAAUAGGCUUAUUCACUGGGCAGAUAUGUUGGUUCAAUGGAACCGCACAUUAAAAAAUUUGAUUAGUGUCAUGGUUAAAAUAAGAAUCAAUAGGGAGCCGUUACUGGUACGGAUAAACAAAGUAAGUUCUGGUUUGGACUACCUACCCAAUGUAUAGUUGAACUCUAGCUAUACAUAAGUUCAUUUCUAAUGGCUCGAAGUUGUCUAGAAUAUGGCAAUUUAGCAUAGGUUCACGCCUUUACAAUGCAUUUUUGCUGAGGAAUGAAGUGCUGCUGUGUGCCCAUCUAUACUAAUAAUGUGACUUCAACAUUCUCUUGAUUCAUUCAAUAAGAAAUGCAUCUUGUAUAGAUGAAUAGCUGUCUUGAACAAUAUUAUCCCAUUUAUUUGAAAAACACCUUUAUCUAAUAUACUUUCUUGUCUUCGGUUUUUAUAGGGAAAUACAUUUUAUUCGCAUUUGUUAUUGAGAUACCCAUUUAUACGGAAGACAUUAGCAAUUCUGACAAGGUAUGUCGACCUCCCACCUGUUUUAAGCCAUGGUGGAGUUUUAGCUUUGAAUUUGGAUGGAGAACCAAUUGAUCUUUAUACCGAUCCUGGUUUGGGCAUGGUUUGAAGCGGGAUCAAGGUCAAGGAUCAUAUAUACUAUGGGUCACUAGCAACACGCUACAUUAGGCGUGCCAAUCUUAUGGAUUUAACCCCUGUAGCAUAACAUUCUUAUGUAAUAUUUCAGCAAGUCAUAUUUUUGUUAGUUACUGGCUCUUGUGUAACAAUGUGAGGACCGAUAAUAAAACGGAGGAACGAUGAUGAUUGUCGUAUUUAGUAUUUGACUUGCGUGACUAUGUUUGGACUGAUAGUAUAUAGUCUCACAUACAAUAGAAAAAAGUUCAUCAUCGCGCAUUCCGUAUAGUGACCCUUACUAGAUUUAAAACCCUUAAAGAUAAACCUUACACCUCGUGCCCAAAGAUAUUUGGGAUAUUGUUUACUAAUUACUACCCGUAGGGUCCUCAAGGCAUUUUACAGCAUAGACAAAAACUGAUACCAUGCAUGUUACGUGGUGUUGAAAGAAACACAGUGGAGCAGGCUAAGCAGUCUAUAGUCUAUACUACACCAGAACAGCACAACUAAUAAAGUGACACAUCCUCCCCCAGAUUCUGGGCUGGGGAUGAGGCUGUUUCACUAGUCGAAUAAGCUUUAAAGAUGUCAAACUGCUGAGCUGAACAUCAAAUCAUACAAUUCCAUAUUUUUCACAACCUAGUAAGAUGUAGAUUUUACCAUUUUCAAGAGUAGGUAGCUAGAUCAUCCAAAUAUUAAAAUAUAAUAUUGCCAGCUUUGUAGAAAUCUAGUACCAUUCACUAUGAGGCUAUACGCUGUAUAGGUUAUGCCAUUCUCUCUCACCGACUCCCCUCCCCUGUAUUGGUCCUUCAGAACACAAAUAUUCCAUUGAUAUAACUCAAGACUUUGUGCCACCUUAUUUGACACUAGGAGAGAUGGACAACCUUGGACCUUGUAUUUCAUGCAUUACUCGAUCUCUAGAGCAUGCAGCACUGCAGCAGGGUGGAGUGACUUCUGACUUGUAAAACUUCUCCCCAGCAGGGUCAAUGGGAGACUCAAUAUAAUGGGUGAAGUCGUGAAGACAAUAGUGCUAAAUUAAAGUGAGAAUAGUCAAAAGAAUGAGUCAAUGAGAUGAAAGAUCUGGUUAUAUCUGCGGUCUAUAAUCGAGAAGAACUACACGUCAGGGCCCAACUGCUUGUCUACGUUAUAAGAAAAUAAAUAGGCCUUUAUUGUUGUUUGCCUUUACAUGUUUGGCAGCUUGCUGAUGUGCAGUAUUAGAAAGUAAAUUGACGAGUGGGGGCUAUAUGGCUGAUCUAUAUCUAUAUUUUCCACCAUCAGGAUUACAUACAAAAACAAAUAAUAUCAAGAUGAGAUUCUUCUUCUCCAUUGCCAUUUUCUUUUACUUCUUCUUGUUUCCAAUUAUCUUCACCACCAUAACUCAUGGAACCAUCUUUGAAAUCCACAACAACUGCAGUGACACAGUCUGGGCUGCAGCUAUACCAGGUGGGGGCCGACAACUUAACACAAGCCAAUCAUGGAUCAUGAAUUUGAAACACAACAUACCUCAACAAGGCCAAAUUUGGGCUCGUACCAACUGCAGUUUCAGCAAAAGUGGUCAUGGAACUUGUGACUCAGGAGAUUGCAAUGGCCAACUGCAAUGCAAAUCAAAUGGUACUUCACCCUACACUCUUGUUGGAUAUUCUCUAAAUCAGAUCAACAACGAUAGAAAUUUUGUCCAUCUUUCUCUUGUCAAUGGAUUUAAUUUAGGGAUGGAUAUAAUUCCAAUAUUAUCUGAAUCCGAUGAUUCAAGCCGAGAGAUCAGAUGCAGAGCUGAUAUCAAUACCAAUUGUCCAGAUGACUUAAAGGUAUCUGGUGGUUGUAAAGACCCUUGUGCAGCUUAUGAUGUCUGUAGUGGACCUACUCCUGAAACAAACUUUUUCAAGCAAAGUUGCCCUGAUGCG